rnacentral:lncRNA from 10 species
ACAGUGACCUUGCCAUCAGAGAGAACCUCAUCAGGAAGGACUUUGAGCUCUUAAGGAAGCCACCCCUUUGGAGAGGCUCUACUUGGACCCACCAAAUUCCAAUCUGUAGGAAAAAAGCUACAGCCAAUUUUCAGGCCGCUUCCAAAUACUACAUGAGCUAGUUUGGUGUCUAAUGUAACAGUUGUACAUGUUUUAGUGGCUCCACAGUUAGACUUGUUGGACACUAAGGAAGCCAUCUAUCAGAGAGUUGGGGUAAAAGCUGACUUGGCAGAAGCUGUCUGAUACUGUGGGUCAUCCUGACCUUGAGACUGCGCAACGUGCCCUGGCAGAUUCAGAGUGUGUCCUGCUAGAACCCAUGUGCUGGACUCAUUUCCAGAGAGAAUGAGUGAAAAUUAGCAAGUAAGAUGACUACAUUCAUUGCCUGAAUGCUAGAAAGUGCCGCAUGCCCCCAGAUUACAUUUGUGGAGUGAAGGCUUUGAUCUCUGCUUCCUACAUGUGUCUGCGAGGAUUGGUACUAUGGGUGUGCCUGCAGCAUGCAUUCAUUACUGCAUCUGAUGGAAGCACAAAGGGAGAGACAAAGAUGCAGAGAACAAUGGUCAGAAUGGCUGUAUUGCACACAAUCCUCUUCUGAGGCCCCAUUCCUGAAAGAAAGCAGGCCAUGCUGGUCUCAGUAUUUGCAUGGAAGGAUAUCUGCCAGUGAAUGAGUCUGUUGAAAUCACCACACCAAAUUCAACAUUAAGGGCCAACCCUGACCACAGCUGAGCCGUGUGAAGAGGCUGACAGCGGCGUGGCCACCACCCAGGAUGGAGAGAAAGGCACUGUGAGGUGUUAAUGGAAAAAUCCAACUUCCUUUUCUUCCAAAGAUGAUGACUGAAACCAAAGUGGAGCUUUCCCUGCCAGUGUGAAGUGAAAGCAAAGUUUUAAAAUUUUUUCUCCUCUGCAAGAAAAUAUAUUUCAGAAAAUCUCUAUCUCAAAAAUGAAGCAAUUAAGAACUGUCUGGCUGUGAGGAUCUGGCCUCAACUUGACUUAAAGCAACAACUUCAGUUACAUAUCAAGAUGUGCGUGAGAAUGAACCUGCUCUGCUCAGCCAACGUGCUGAGUGACUUGAUGUUUGUAAUAAAUAAAUAAAUAAACAACAAACAGGUUGUCAUGAAAUAUCCUUUGUAAUUAUAAACACAGGAAACUUUCUGAGAUGCAAGUGGGUGUUAAAUGGUUCAGCAAAGCCAAGCCAGAGCAGUUGGUGUGCUUUGAAAUGAAGCAACAUUGGAAAAAUGAAAUCUACUGAAAGAUCACUACGUGUUUCAAAGGACUGACUAGAACCAGAACUCUUCAGAAAAGAAUGUGCUAAAGGUUUGUCCUUGAGAAGUUUCCAAGCCAAGACACUCCUAGGAGCACUUCCCAUUGAGGCCGAAAGGCUCAUCCACUUACAGCGAUUCAUGGGAAAAGAGGACAGCACCCUCAUCUUUGGUCCAAGAACACAAUCCUGAGUGACACAGGAUUGCCCUGAAAGUCAACAGCAUCCGUCUUACAAAAAUCAACAACACUCGCUUUUCAAACUUCCAAAGAAUUUACUGGUCUGGUUUGGCCUUUUGGUGCCACAUUCCAUUCCAGAACCCCAGCUAAAAUGUUCUCAAGGGCUGACCAGAGAUUCCUCCUCCUUUCUCUGGGCUGGUACAACUUGACCGCUGCUUGACAUCAAGGUCAACUGGAGACUGGGAACAGUUAUGUAACUGUGUUGUAAAUUGAAUUAGAGCUGUACAUGAGCCCAGACCAAGUAACCAGUGCAGCUCCAGGCAAGAGCAGCAACAUGUCCCCCAGAGACAGCAUUGGAGGAACAGCUUACUGGGGAAUGGAAAAAGGGUAUCACAGGGUAAAAAAGAAACCGUCUCUUUCCAGUCCUUCUAAAGUCUGGGCAGUUGGCUGCCCCAUCACAUGUGGAAUAAGAGGGGGGCAUUAAGUGCAGAGGGAGCUGGUGUCAGUAUGGCAGGCAAACACUGAGGAAAAAUCAGCAUACAUAGUAUACACAAAGAGAAUGAGAAAAAAAUAUUUGUAACACCAGAACAGACACCACCCAGAUGAAAGAAAUAAGAAGGCUUACACGUGGAGAGGAAAAAAGCCUCUGGCAGUGGUCAGUGGACUGUAGAAUGAGCAAGAAAGGCAUGACCAUCCUCCUACCAGUGACUGGUCAUUCUGGAGAGGAUACAUGUGCACAGAUCUGGAAAACCAGGGCUGAAAAGCCUUUUGACACCUUUGGUGACCUAGGACAUGGUCCCCCAAUGUAAGACAUCAUGCUAGAUAGAGGGGAAAAUAGUAAGUUUUCUUCAAAGGCAAAUGAAUACAACUUGAGAUAACUUUUGAAAAGAAAAAAGGUACUGGGACCAUGGCAUGACUUUGAUCUGUGCUAACAUGACCGCCUGCAGAAGCAGAUGAGGAGAGGCAGAAUAAUGUAAAGCUGAAAGCUUGGAGUCACCAAACCAUAGAUAGCUUCACCUCUUACCAAGUGCUUGAUGUGUGGCUAGGUUCUUAAAUCCCCUACAAGUUCCAGCUUCCUCAUCUGUAAAAAACGAGCAAGUUAAGACUGGGUGAGUUAAUAGAUGUAAAAGUACUUAGUACAGUACUCUACAAAUAGUAAGUGCCCAAUAAAUGUUAACUGUUAUCCUUCAGACUCAGACUGGAACUGCACCGUUGGCUCUCCUGGGUGGGUCUCCAGCUUGCUGACCACAGACCUUGAGACUUCUCAGCCUUUAGAAUCAUGGAAGCCAAUUCCUUAUAAUAAUAUAUAUCCUUUUCCUAGUCUGUGGACUUUUCCCAGCUCCAGACAGACAACCUUCUAUAAACUCCAGGAUGCUCCAUCAAUGCCGUCUGGACUCUACAGAUUUUGACCCUGAAGUAAAGUAGGAAAGGCUAUGAGGACAUGUUAAAUGUUGUACUACCGCCUGAAGCCUUUUCUUCUUUAAAUUUUUCAACAAGAGUUGAAUGCACACGUGGAGCUUAAUUGGACAACAACUUUUCUCCUCUUCUGUGGGAUCCCGUCAGUGCUUUAAGCAAUGAGAAGGCAGCUCAUUUCCAAGUUUGUGUGGUAAAUUUGGGGCAAGUGGGAGAAAAGAAAGAAAGGCUGAGUCUUAUAGGGUGUGAUUUGGUUCUAGACAUGCUUAUGUUACUUUUUAUAAGAUUAUCCAUUUGACUAGAUUUCUUUCCUGCUGACAAAAGAGGCAAUUUCUACAUAUAAAAUAAAUCUGAUUAAAACUCU